rnacentral:rRNA from 1 species
CAUUUGGCGUGGGGGCACCCUGACCGCAAUGCCGCGUGUGUGAAGAAGGCCUGCGGGUUGUAAAGCACUUUAGGUGGGGAGAAAAGGCGAAUUUUUAAUAGAGGUUCGCGAUGAUGUUACCCACAGAAUAAGCACCGGCUAACUCUGUGCCAGCAGCCGCGGUAAUACAGAGGGUGCGAGCGUUAAUCGGAAUUACUGGGCGUAAAGCGCAUGUAGGUGGGAUGACAAGUUUGAUGUGAAAGCCCUGGGCUUAACCUGGGAAUGGCGUUGAAAACUGGGAUUCUAGAGUCGGAGAGAGGGUAGUGGAAUUUCCGGUGUAGCGGUGAAAUGCGUAGAGAUCGGAAAGAACACCAGUGGCGAAGGCGGCUACCUGGUUCCAGACUGACACUGAGGUGCGAAA